rfam:Felis catus isolate Cinnamon breed Abyssinian chromosome C1, whole genome shotgun sequence.
GUCUAGGGUCAUACUACCUUGACGGCAUCUGAGCUCCUCUGAUCUCCAGAAGCUAAGCAGAGUCGGGCCUGGUUAGUACUUGGAUGGGAGACCCUCCAUUGCUUAAAAAUCUGUCUAAUCCCUAUUCC